rnacentral:rRNA from 1 species
UCAGGACGAACGCUGGCGGCGUGCUUAACACAUGCAAGUCGAGCGGAAAGGCCCUUCGGGGUACUCGAGCGGCGAACGGGUGAGUAACACGUGAGCAACCUGCCCUUGGCUUUGGGAUAACCCUCGGAAACGGGGGCUAAUACCGAAUAUCCAUCUUUCAUUGCAUGGUGGUUGGUGGAAAGUUUUUCGGCCAGGGAUGGGCUCGCGGCCUAUCAGCUUGUUGGUGGGGUGAUGGCCUACCAAGGCGACGACGGGUAGCCGGCCUGAGAGGGCGACCGGCCACACUGGGACUGAGACACGGCCCAGACUCCUACGGGAGGCAGCAGUGGGAAUAUUGCACAAUGGGCGGAAGCCCGAUGCAGCGACGCCGCGUGAGGGAUGACGGCCUUCGGGUUGUAAACCUCUUUCAGCAGGGACGAAGCGAAAGUGACGGUACCUGCAGAAGAAGCGCCGGCCAACUACGUGCCAGCAGCCGCGGUAAGACGUAGGGCGCGAGCGUUGUCCGGAUUUAUUGGGCGUAAAGGGCUCGUAGGCGGUUUGUCGCGUCGGGAGUGAAAACCUUGGGCUUAACUCAGGGCUUGCUUUCGAUACGGGCAGACUAGAGGUAUGCAGGGGAGAACGGAAUUCCUGGUGUAGCGGUGAAAUGCGCAGAUAUCAGGAGGAACACCGGUGGCGAAGGCGGUUCUCUGGGCAUGAUCUGACGCUGAGGAGCGAAAGUGUGGGGAGCGAACAGGAUUAGAUACCCUGGUAGUCCACACCGUAAACGUUGGGCGCUAGGUGUGGGAUCCAUUCCACGGGUUCCGUGCCGCAGCUAACGCAUUAAGCGCCCCGCCUGGGGAGUACGGCCGCAAGGCUAAAACUCAAAGGAAUUGACGG